UAAAAAAGGGGAACAUGAGAUCACGGGCAUGCGCAUUGGUUUGAAUACCCGUUUCAAUGUUAAAAGAAUGCAAAUUUCCUUAGUGAAAUGGAAACAUUUGAUUAACAUUGUUGUCGGUGGUGGCAUCGAGUUUGGCCAAAAUACGGGCAUUAAGAUGUUGGUUAGGUUUGAUCUGUAGUUUUAUUUCAUACCUCUAAAUUUAUUCAGAAAAGCCAAAUGUAAUAAGCUGAUUAAUAGCCUUCACAGACGACAGCUCUAAUUUGCAUUAGCGGUCUUAAUUUGCGUUAACUUGCAUAUUUGAUCGAUGUUAAUAUAGGCAACACUACCCAAAAAUUACCGAUUUUUGCUAUUGUUUGACAGAUGUCGCUUGAAGUCUGUCGCCUCCUUUGUGUUUACAUCAGAGAUGGCAGAAAAUAAACAACGCACAGUUUGCUAUCCAUUAUUUAAAUAUUCUUAUAUUUUUCGCACACUUUUUUUCGCGUUACAAUCAAGUAUAAAAGCAAUACUUGAUCAGCUGUCUGAAUACACAAUUCUGCCGUCUGUCACAAUAAAAUUUGAAUGCGCAUUAAUUUUACUCAUCUAUCAAGGCUAUUAAUUAUAGCAUUAUAGCCCUGACAGACGACAGCGCUAAUAUGUAUUAGCGGGUUUAAUUUACAUUUACUUGCGCAUUUGACCCAUGUUAAUGCAAUUUUGUAAUGCACAAGAAUAUCGUGCAUUUAGCUAAUUUACCAAAUUUGAGUAGGCAACACUGCUCAAAAAUGGCCGAUUUUUGGUAUUUUUUGACAGAUGUCGCUUGAAGUCUACUGCCUCCUUUCCGUUUACAUCAUCAGCAUCAGCAGUUUUAUAUUGCUAAUUAAAUUAUGGUCAAGUACAUAUAUUAACAAAAAUAAAUUUGAAUAUUUUUAGAUGGCA